rnacentral:rRNA from 1 species
GACGAACGCUGGCGGCGUGCUUAACACAUGCAAGUCGAACGAAGAGCGAUGGAAGCUUGCUUCUAUCAAUCUUAGUGGCGAACGGGUGAGUAACGCGUAAUCAACCUGCCCUUCAGAGGGGGACAACAGUUGGAAACGACUGCUAAUACCGCAUACGAUCUAAUCUCGGCAUCGAGGAUAGAUGAAAGGUGGCCUCUAUUUAUAAGCUAUCACUGAAGGAGGGGAUUGCGUCUGAUUAGCUAGUUGGAGGGGUAACGGCCCACCAAGGCGAUGAUCAGUAGCCGGUCUGAGAGGAUGAACGGCCACAUUGGGACUGAGACACGGCCCAGACUCCUACGGGAGGCAGCAGUGGGGAAUCUUCCGCAAUGGACGAAAGUCUGACGGAGCAACGCCGCGUGAGUGAUGACGGCCUUCGGGUUGUAAAGCUCUGGUAAUCGGGACGAAAGGCCUUCUUGCGAAUAGUUAGAAGG